CCUACGGGAGGCAGCAGUGAGGAAUAUUGGUCAAUGGGCGCUAGCCUGAACCAGCCAAGUAGCGUGAAGGAUGACUGCCCUAUGGGUUGUAAACUUCUUUUAUAUGGGAAUAAAGUGCAGUAUGUAUACUGCUUUGCAUGUACCUUAUGAAUAAGGAUCGGCUAACUCCGUGCCAGCAGCCGCGGUAAUACGGAGGAUCCGAGCGUUAUCCGGAUUUAUUGGGUUUAAAGGGAGCGUAGGCGGGUUGUUAAGUCAGUUGUGAAAGUUUGCGGCUCAACCGUAAAAUUGCAGUUGAUACUGGCAGCCUUGAGUACAGUAGAGGUAGGCGGAAUUCGUGGUGUAGCGGUGAAAUGCUUAGAUAUCACGAAGAACUCCGAUUGCGAAGGCAGCCUGCUGGACUGUAACUGACGCUAAUGCUCGAAAGUGUGGGUAUCAAACAGGAUUAGAUACCCUGGUAGUC
rnacentral:rRNA from 1 species